GACAGAGGAGCCAAGCGUUGUCCGGAUUGACUGGGCGUAAAGCGCACGCAGGCGGCUCGGCGCGUUGGGGUGUGAAAGCUGGCGGCUUAACUGCCAGAUGCCAUCCCAUACGGCUGGCUCGAGCCUGCAGAGGUCCAGUGGAAUUGCCGGUGUAGUGGUCGAAAUGCGUAGAGUAUCGGCAGGAACACCCAGGGGAACCAGUGGACUGGGCAGGA
rnacentral:rRNA from 1 species